ensembl:lncRNA
CCUCCCUGCCCUGGGCCGACUCACUCACCAAAACUUUGCAGACGGCGCUGGGGAGAAUUAAUCCCGGAGUCGCCGUCUACGCGGCCCUGGGGGGUUAGGACGCCCGCCCGGGAGAGAGCGUGGACUCGCCGCGCGCGAUGGUCGGAAAGCGGUGAGCCCCGAGCCCCGCCGCUGCAGGGAGUGAGGUCUGCAGGGACCCCUGACGACCGCUGGGGGGCCGCGGAGGGAAGUGGCGGGGGGAGUGGAAAGCCGGAGAGAGAGUGUUGAUGAGAACGCCCCGACACACACACAUGCCCUCGGGGCCACGGGUGCCCUGGACUUGUAGGUUUUCUGCGGGAGGCAAGGUUUGGGGGUAUCUUGAGCCCUGGUAUAAUGAAGGAGGCUCGCGAGGGCCAGUGUCCCGCUGGAGGAGGCCGCUUCUCCACCUGCCACCCCGUCUCAGAGGCCCCGCGGUUGCGCCAAGGCAGGACCAGGGCUAAAACUCAGCCCUCUGGUUCUAGGUGCCCCUUCCGCUGCCUGGCCAAGCGGAGCGCUGUAAGUCCCCAGGCCGAGGACUUGCUGGCACAGGGCAGUGGUCCUGGAGGCAGGCAAGAAGCAGGCUGGCUGCCAGACUGCUGGCUCCUGGGGGUGCUUCGAUGGCCCCCAGCCCAGGUGAGGUCAUCCCUCUUCCAAGGAUGCCCUGAGACGUCGGUGGCUCGGCCCCCAGCCCGCACACCCUUGAGUCGGUCCAGGAGCAGGACAAAAAGGACAAGACGUCCUCCCAUCCCGGCGCCCCUACCGAGCACUCUUCCCCGAGUGCCAGACGGCUGGCACAGUUCCGCGGGCUCCUGCUGUCAACAGGAGCAGCGAGACCUCACGGAGAAGCAUAUAGCACGCCAAGCGGCUUGCCCGAGACGCUGCCACUCUGCUUCUGUGCACCCGGCAUCCCCUAGCCCACCCCAGGAGACAAGAAACGCCUUACAGGGGGGAAUCACAGAAAACAACUAGAGCGGGGCAGCACCAGAGACGAACGCACAUCUGGUCUGCAUCCACCUGACAUAAAAUCCUGAGAUCCAAACACAGAUGAGCUCGAGACAGGGCCUUCUAUUUCUACAGCAGUCGCGGUAAUCCACCCUUGAAGAGAUCUAGCUCAGCUGGGCCUGUCUUCUCAGACAGCAGGAAUACUGGCUUGUAGACAUAUCCCUUGGACACCCCAGGUCUCUAAAGUAUACAGACAACUCCGUACACACAGCCCUUUUAACUCUGUGCAGACAACCUUUUUAACUCUGAUGGAUAGAUUAUUUUAAAUAUUAUUACUUCUUUCCAAGCAUUACUAGCAGCUUUUAAAAAAAAUAGAUCACUUAAUUUAUCACCUAAGUCAGUAUCUUCAAAGUUCUGUCUGACUUCCAGGCCUUACUCUGGGCCCUGUCACUUCUAUAAAUACAUGUUAUAAUAAGGUCUCCAUUAAAAAGAGAAUGUGUUUCAAUAACACAUGUUAUUGUAAGAAUCUUUAUUACUGACAAUAGACAUAGGCUGUAUAAGGUGUACUCAAGGAUGUUAGUGGCUCAGUGGUAAAGAAUCUGCCUGCCCAUCCAGGAGACAUGGGUUCGAUCCCUGGGUUGGGAAGAUCCCCUGGAGAAGGA